CCUACGGGAGGCAGCAGUGGGGAAUUUUGGACAAUGGGCGCAAGCCUGAUCCAGCCAUGCCGCGUGAGUGAAGAAGGCCUUCGGGUUGUAAAGCUCUUUCAGACGGAAAGAAAUCUCCUGGGCUAAUACCCCGGGAGGAUGACGGUACCGUAAGAAGAAGCACCGGCUAACUACGUGCCAGCAGCCGCGGUAAUA
rnacentral:rRNA from 1 species